rnacentral:rRNA from 1 species
GAUGAACGCUGGCGGCGUGCUUAACACAUGCAAGUCGAAUGGAAAGGCCCAAGCUUGCUUGGGUACUCGAGUGGCGAACGGGUGAGUAACACGUGGGUGAUCUGCCCUGCACUUCGGGAUAAGCCUGGGAAACUGGGUCUAAUACCGGAUAGGACCACUUCUUGGAUGUUGUGGUGGAAAGUUUUUUCGGUGUGGGAUGAGCUCGCGGCCUAUCAGCUUGUUGGUGGGGUAAUGGCCUACCAAGGCGUCGACGGGUAGCCGGCCUGAGAGGGUGUACGGCCACAUUGGGACUGAGAUACGGCCCAGACUCCUACGGGAGGCAGCAGUGGGGAAUAUUGCACAAUGGGCGCAAGCCUGAUGCAGCGACGCCGCGUGGGGGAUGACGGCCUUCGGGUUGUAAACGCCUUUCGCUAGGGACGAAGCGUUUUGUGACGGUACCUGGAGAAGAAGCACCGGCUAACUACGUG